GUAGGUGGCAAGCGUUGUCCGGAAUUAUUGGGCGUAAAGCGCGCGCAGGGCGGUCCUUUAAGUCUGAUGUGAAAGCCCACGGCUCAACCGUGGAGGGUCAUUGGAAACUGGGGGACUUGAGUACAGGAGAGGAAAGCGGAAUUCCAAGUGUAGCGGUGAAAUGCGUAGAGAUUUGGAGGAACACCAGUUGUGAAGGCGGCUUUCUGGUCUGUAACUGACGCUGAGGCGCGAAAGCGUGGGGAGCAAACAGGAUUAGAUACCCUGGUAGUCCACGCCGUAAACGAUGAGUGCUAAGUGUUAGGGGGUUUCCGCCCCUUAGUGCUGCAGCUAACGCAUUAAGCACUCCGCCUGGGGAGUACGGCCGCAAGGCUG
rnacentral:rRNA from 1 species